rnacentral:rRNA from 1 species
CGUAACAAGGUCUCCGUAGGUGAACCUGCGGAGGGAUCAUUACACAAAUAUGAAGGCGGGCUGGAACCUCUCGGGGUUACAGCCUUGCUGAAUUAUUCACCCUUGUCUUUUGCGUACUUCUUGUUUCCUUGGUGGGUUCGCCCACCACUAGGACAAACAUAGACCUUUUGUAAUUGCAAUCAGCGUCAGUAACAAAUUAAUAAUUACAACUUUCAACAACGGAUCUCUUGGUUCUGGCAUCGAUGAAGAACGCAGCGAAAUGCGAUAAGUAGUGUGAAUUGCAGAAUUCAGUGAAUCAUCGAAUCUUUGAACGCACAUUGCGCCCUUUGGUAUUCCAAAGGGCAUGCCUGUUCGAGCGUCAUUUGUACCCUCAAGCUUUGCUUGGUGUUGGGCGUCUUGUCUCUAGCUUUGCUGGAGACUCGCCUUAAAGUAAUUGGCAGCCGGCCUACUGGUUUCGGAGCGCAGCACAAGUCGCACUCUCUAUCAGCAAAGGUCUAGCAUCCAUUAAGCCUUUUUUUCAACUUUUGACCUCGGAUCAGGUAGGGAUACCCGCUGAACUUAAGCAUA